rnacentral:rRNA from 1 species
CCUAAUACAUGCAAGUCGAGCGGCCACUUCGGGGGCAGCGGCGGACGGGUGAGUAACGCGUGGGAAUAUGCCCUUUGGUACGGAACAACUGAGGGAAACUUCAGCUAAUACCGUAUGUGCCCUUCGGGGGAAAGAUUUAUCGCCAUUGGAGUAGCCCGCGUUGGAUUAGCUAGUUGGUGGGGUAAAGGCCCACCAAGGCGACGAUCCAUAGCUGGUCUGAGAGGAUGAUCAGCCACACUGGGACUGAGACACGGCCCAGACUCCUACGGGAGGCAGCAGUGGGGAAUCUUGCGCAAUGGGCGAAAGCCUGACGCAGCCAUGCCGCGUGAAUGAUGAAGGUCUUAGGAUUGUAAAAUUCUUUCACCGGGGAAGAUAAUGACGGUACCCGGAGAAGAAGCCCCGGCU